CGUGAACAAAAGGACCUGGGGAUGUCCCCGGAAGCAGGACUGCGUGUGUCUAAGAAGCUUAGGGAGCCAUGGUUCGCUCAGAGGUUCCCUCCGUUUCCAGCUCCCCAGAUCCUCCUCAGUGGCCACGGGGUGGCCUCAGCUCUCCCAGUCCUGCCCUGCUGGCUUCUGCAUGUCCUCGGGGAGGCCUGCCUUCCUUCAUCCCUGCCAGGGGUCUGCGCUCUGCUCUCCUGGCCGGGGCCCACAUGUUACAGAAGCAACAACUUUCUCUGUCUCCACCGGACCAGGAACUCUGUGGUCAGCUCCAGGUGCCAGGUUCCAGCACCUGAAGCUGGAACCUCCAUGAGGAGCACGGUCAAUACGCACUGUGGAAAUGGGGCUGUCUGUGACUUACCGUGCUGGGCUCGGCUGUCAUCGGAGAUCAACCGGCAUUCAGCCAGCACUUCUCCAAGGUGAUCUGAAGCGUCUCAGGCUACAUGGCUCCCACCUAUUAUUUUUUGGUGCUGGCUUGUAUUUUGAACACAUCUGCAAGACACCCUUGGCUGACUCAUUAAUUCCUUGUCAUGCUCUCAAGAGAAAAGCUUAAUGGGGCUAUUUCCUAUAUUUUUAUCCAGCAUGAUGAGCUUUUUCCUUGAGUUUUUCUAAAUUUUCCUGUAGGUCCUGAGAAUCCGUCCCCUGAUCGGCUCUUGAUGUAGUUUCCAGGCUUGGUGUGAGGAAGGUGGCUAUUUU
rnacentral:lncRNA from 1 species